AAACAUUUUAUUCUUGUGUUUCUCCAGUUGGUAGAAAUUGGCUUUCUGCUAGAUUGCCACUCAUUUUCACAAUGGCUUCCAAGUGUACAUUCUUGUUGCUUUUUUGUUUCAUUUUUUUUUAACCUGUAUCUUAGACUCCCAAGUUUUGUUAUUUUUUUUUUGUGUACAGAAAUACUGGGUUUAUUACGAUACGGAAAUACGUGGAAAGAGACAAGUGACAUGAAGACAAAAUCUCGGUUUCAUUAUCAUACAUGCAUUUAUAAAUUAAAUAAUGUCCAACGACAUGCUAAUUUCAGUGACAAGAGUUUGACAGUAAUGAUGAGGUCGAUAAGCCGCAGUCAAUUUGAGUUAAUUACUGAAUUCUCCGGUCUUUGUCUCUUUCUGCGUCGUCCCAGUAUGUGAUGACCCUAACUUCUGUACGACUGGUCACUGAUUCCUGGUGCUAUAUUCAGUGUACGGAUGUAUUCAUACUCCCUGCAUUUUUACAAACCUAUUACAACAAAAUUUUAUCCAAGUUUGUCCCGUUCAUAUUUUAGUUUAUAUCAUAGUUAAUCAUGUCAAAUCAUGUUUAUUCCAAUGAUUUCUUUUGUUUUGUCAGUUCAAUGAAAUCAUCAACUCAAGAAUGCAAAUUAGAACAAAUCUAUGCUAAAGAAUGUAACAAACCUUUUUUUUUUUUAAACAAAAUAUCCAUAAUAGUUGCAUGCUAUGUAGGCUAUAUCACUACAUUUUAGUUAUUGACUAUUUUAGAAUUUUUUUUCUAAUAUUAAAGAAUAAACUUAAUUUAAAACAU
rnacentral:sRNA from 1 species